rnacentral:hammerhead_ribozyme from 1 species
AUCCAACUGACGAGUCCCAAAUAGGAUUAAACGCGCAUCCUGAAU